AGGACGUUAAGCAGAGGGCAAGUGUCGGGUUCUCGUCCUUGGCUGUAACUCUGCCCACCAUCCCAGAACCCUGAAAAAAAAUCUAUAAGAGCUGUAUACAGUAAAUAUAAAAAUACAAAUGUACGCGUAAUAAGAUGAGUGAUGAGGCAGUAGCAGCAGAGGAGAGACAUAACCAAACAGGAGAGGCGAGGCCGCGAGGAGCCGAAAUAUAGUGCUCCCGAAAUCAAGAUGUAGUGCUUCACGCCAGACUGUUUAGUAAAGGUCGCAUUGAUUACUCCACUGUCCCUUUACAGAACCCCGUCUUCCAGUGACACAAGUGAGGCAGCAGGAAGUGGGUGCAAGAUAGGAACCCAGGAUGCAAAGGUGCAGUGACUCAAAAUGGCUACUCUUGCAACUAUGGCGGAUAUGUUGUAUGAGGCUGUCAAUACUGGGGAUGUUGAUGCAGUGAUGGACUUGCUGAAAAAAGGUGCCAAUGUCAAUGUCCUUCCAUCAUGUGGACGGACUGCCCUGGGCCGCGCAGCACAGCUGGGACAUCUAGCAAUUGUGUGUCUCCUCCUUGAUGCUGAAAAGUUUUACACAACACCAGAGGAGGAGGAUGUGGACACAGAAUCACUGUUUUCAUGCAUCUCAUCAAGUUCUAGCUCUCAUGUCGGUGCAGCUCCCAGUGUGACCUCAUGUGCCUCUAGAGGAAACUUACCUCAGGACCAGAAGACAUCACCAACCACUGGAGCUGCAGCUUCAUCUUCUUCUGUAGGCAAUCUCCGUCCAGCACUUGGGGCAGCUCUUUUGAGUCCACAGGGACACAAAUGUUGCUCUCCAAGUAUCGAUUCUGAGACAUGCACAUGCAGUGAUGAGUUGUGGGGUCUAGACCUUAGUGACUCGAACCAGCAAAGUGAUUGGGAGGCUGGACGUUGUAAGCGAGAGCUCCCAAGUAACAAUAAUGAAGAAACCUCAGAAAUUGAUAUUCAAGACCCAUAUACUUUGCCCAUUUGUGGUCAUACAACUAGUCAGUACACCUCAAGCAACAUUGGUUAUUACGUUUUUGAAUACAGAGAAGAGGAGGAGGAUACUGGUGAGUCAUCAGGGCCAGUUGUCUCAUCUACGGAAGACUCAGACUCUGCUAUGAUAGGCGAGAGACGGCACCACUACCACCCCCACCGCCAGUCCUCCUCAGUCCUGCUCCAACGCACUCUGGGACGGGGAAGGGCAAAUAUUGUGUCAUCUGAUUCAGAAUUUGAAACAGAAAACAGAAGACGCAGACGUCAUGCCCGCCACAACCAUCGUUCUCAUCGCCAUGAAAGAGAGAAUGGUCGUCACAAACUAGUUAACUCUCAUCGUUCAAGCCCUUGGUUGGCUCAGCUUCAUUCAGAAUACAUGGCUUUAGGCCUUCCAUCUCCCUGGUCUCCAAGCCGCAGCUGUGAUAUUAACCAGCAGGAUGCAUAUGGAAGGUCAGCAUUGCAUUAUGCUACAGAACAAGGCCACACAUAUAUUGUUCAUAUGCUCAUCAAGGCAGGAGUCCGUGUAGACACCCCAGAUGCUGAGCACAUGACAGCGCUCCAUCUUGCAGUGCAGCGAGGUUUGGUGGAGGUCAUCACUCUGCUGCUGGAGGGAGGAGCCAGGGUUAACAACAAGAUGAAUGAUAAGAGUACUCCACUGCAUAUAGCAGCAUCAAGAGGCUACACUGACAUUGUGGAAUUGUUACUGUGUCAUGGAGCAAAGAUUGACUCCCUGGACAGCUCUGAUCGCACUGCUCUCAUUGUGGCUGUCUCGCGAUCCAAUGUCAAGGUGGUGCAGCUGCUGCUUGAGCGUGGGGCAAAGGUUAACAUUGAGGAAAUACAUGGAUACACUCCUUUGUGUGAGGCAGUGUGGCACAAAGAUGUAAAACUAGUCCAGAUGCUCCUGGCUGCUGGUGCCAAGAUCACUCAGUCACACUAUCUUCUCCAUUAUGCAGUCCUUCACCGACAUUUUCAGCUGGCUGAGCUGUUACUCAGCGCCCGCUGCAUUGUCAACCUGCGGGAUGAUAACGGAGAUACUCCUCUUAUCAUUGCUGCACGCACCUGCCAGCCUCCCAUCAUCAAGUUGUUGCUCAAGAAUGGUGCCAACACUAAUUACCCCAAUGGAUUGACUGGCACUACUCCCCUACAUGAGGCAGUAGAGGGCACAAGAGAUGCUCAGUUUGCCGAUUUCAGCACUGUGUUCUCUCUCCUCUACAAUCAUGGUGCUCACCUUGAUUUAGAAACUGUAACAGCUGGAGACACCCCACUGUAUAGAGCUCUGCUGCUUGAGAAAAAUAAAGCAGCUGCUCUUCUGAUAAGACAAGGUUUAAAGGGGCAUUGAAGCUACCACGUGUGUACCUAUGGAACAUCCUGUGUUAAAAAAGGGUGUUUCCAAGGAAAAAACUUCUCUGCACAAACCACCAAAAGUUGCAACGUCAAUCAUCGAACUCCCACUGCCACGCCUGACUACCUGCACAUGGUGGCUCUGCGUGGCAACUCAUCCCUGGCCACACUCCUGCUGCUGGCGGGCUUUAACCUUUGGAGUGCAGACUGGCUCAAUGGUAUCUUCACUCCAGGCACUCUUAUGUCAAGAUUAGCAACAGUCAGGCUACAACCUCUCACUUUAGCUGACCUGUGUAGAGUUCACAUUCGUCAAUGGUUUGGUGAACGCCUUCAUGUCAGCCUUGGAGCUUCAGCACUGCCGACAAGAGUAGUUAGAUUUCUUAUGUUGGAGGAUGUAGAAGUUGAUCUCUGACACUAGCAGAAAGAUUUUUGAUGUUUGAUCCAAUAAAAAAUUAUUAUUUGAAAAGUUGUAUUCUAGACUCAAUAAAAGUUUUAUCUAUA